AGGACCUGGCUUGGUUGGGAAGUGGGGCCUGGGACCCUGGGACCCUGUGCUCCGACCCCACCUGCAAGGCUGCGCCCUCCGCAGGGGGCCGUCCGGGGGGGCCCUGCCCGCGGGUCACUGCCAGGAUCCUGCAAGCAGCCAGCGGGCACCGCUGUCACCACAUUUCACACUCUGAGGAGCUCUGGGCACAGCCUCCAGGGAAAGCCUGGCUGCCGACUCUGGCCCCCUGACUCCUGAAUCCUGCGAGUCACACGGCGGCACGGCCUGCAUAUCGGGGAGGAUGGCAGGCUGGGCUGUCCUGAGGUGACCAGGGAAUGCCAGACGCUUUGGGGUGAGGGUUUGCUUGCCGGCUUUGGGGCAGGCCAAGGGAUUCUGCAGGGGCAGUAGGUCCCCGCGAUCUUCUGGGGAGGGGCCGGCUGCCGAAUCUCUGGGAUUCAAAUGUGGAAAACCCACAGGGGGCAUUCCCGUGAUGACUGAAAGAAGAAGUGGCAGCGUCACAGCUGAAGGGAGGCUGUCAGAGUGACCAGAGUGGCCAGUCCAGAGGAGACGGGUGGGGCAAAGUCUCCAGGAGGCCAGGAGAUGCCUUCAAGAAAAGAAAUGGAAAGGAGUGAUGACCUGAUGCGUGUGAGAACACGGGGACGAGCCUUGCGGCUCCGUGGGAGAGCUUGGGUGAGGACCACCCGUGCCGCGGCGACCUCUGAUCGUCACCCAAGCUGUGCCCUCCCAUUUCACGGUAAAAGGGGUUUCACCGGGCUCAAGGCUGUCCAGCUAAAGACCACGUCUCCCAGCCUCCUUGCAGACUCUAACUUAGCCUGUGACCAAGUUCUGGUCAAUGGGACCAGAGCAGGAGUGGGAGGUGUCACUUCCGGAUCUUCCCAUUAAAAGAAAGGGUCAUUCUCCAGGAGAACCCACCCGAGGUGUCCUGGCCGUAGCCACCUUCAAAAUGCCCUCUGUGUGUAUGGGAGAUACUAUACCCUAGAAUCUCAGAACACGCCAGAACGCUGAAAUGCCCUUCUACCUUUGGAUUUACAGCCCCCUCCAGAUAAAUUAAGAAAUUCAGUAUUUCUCCACUCUUAGCUGGAUUCUAAAGUUCUGUAUAUCUCAUGAUGAUGUGUAUUUUUAUAGCAGCCUUUUAACAGAACUAGUUAAUUUGGUGUAUAUGAAUUUUUCUCGAAGAUCUGGUCCAAACUAUAUUCAGUUUUCUGCCCAGAAUUAUCAGAUUGAAGGUGGUUGGUUUUUAUUUACUUUUUCUUUUAUUCCUUUUUUUUUUUUUUGAG
rnacentral:lncRNA from 1 species